AAUAUUUAAAUCUCUUCCAUAUGUUUAAGAAUAAAAGAAAACAAGCAGCGUUUUUUUUUUUUUUUUUUUAUAGCUAUGUUUAUUCACUAGUGAUGGCCACUGACUGGAGUUGGUAUCGGCGUAUGGGACAAGAGGGAGAGGAAGUCGGCGGCGCGGGGAUGGUUGGUUCGCCGGAGAAGAUGCGUAAUCCAGUUGGAGUUGCUGUCGCCGCUGUGGCGUUGAACUCCGACCAGAACCGGUCGUGGAAAAAGGGAGGAGAUGACAGCGCCGGUCAGAUCCGGUCCGUUGAUGGGCUGUUCGCGACGGAAAAGGGGAGGGGGAAGGGAGUACGCCGGAGAAAGAAAAAGGGGGAGUGGCGCGGGUCUUGAAAUUCCGGCGAUGAGAGGUGCAAAAGAGUGACGUUAAUGACGUCGGCGAGAACCAAUCGGAGUCGACUCGAAAAUAGAUCCAUUUUUGGUGAUUUUUUAUUUUUUAUUUUUGAUCUGAUUUUGUCUACUGUGUAUAUGAAUUACUGUGUGCAUGAAUCUGAAUCUGCGUACGUGUAAAUUAUCAGAUGAGUAUAUAUAUGCAUAUAACAGUGUCUAUUUUCUGUUAUCUG
rnacentral:lncRNA from 1 species